rnacentral:rRNA from 1 species
GAUGAACGCUGGCGGCGUGCCUAAUACAUGCAAGUCGAGCGAAUGGAUUAAGAGCUUGCUCUUAUGAAGUUAGCGGCGGACGGGUGAGUAACACGUGGGUAACCUGCCCAUAAGACUGGGAUAACUCCGGGAAACCGGGGCUAAUACCGGAUAACAUUUUGAACCGCAUGGUUCGAAAUUGAAAGGCGGCUUCGGCUGUCACUUAUGGAUGGACCCGCGUCGCAUUAGCUAGUUGGUGAGGUAACGGCUCACCAAGGCAACGAUGCGUAGCCGACCUGAGAGGGGGAUCGGCCACACUGGGACUGGGACACGGCCCAGACUACUACGGGAGGCAGCAGUAGGGAAUCUUCCGCAAUGGACGAAAGUCUGACGGAGCAACGCCGCGUGAGUGAUGAAGGCUUUCGGGUCGUAAAACUCUGUUGUUAGGGAAGAACAAGUGCUAGUUGAAUAAGCUGGCACCUUGACGGUACCUAACCAGAAAGCCACGGCUAACUACGUGCCAGCCGCCGCAGUAA